CUCACACAGGUAACACACAGGGGGUACACACAGGUGCCACACAGGGACACACAGGUAACACACAGUGGGUGUGGCUCACACAGGGACACACAGGUAACACACGGUGGGUGUGGCUCACACAGGUGACACACAGGUGCCACACAGGUGCCACACAGGUGACGCAGGUGCCACACAGGGACACCCAGGUGCCACAGGUAAC
rnacentral:lncRNA from 12 species